GCUGGUUUGGCUCAGCGGUUAGAGCGUCGGCCUGUAGACUGAAGGAUCACUGGUUUGAUUCCAGUCAAGGGCA
rfam:Myotis brandtii contig262747, whole genome shotgun sequence.